UUGGAGGCAAGCUGAAGCCUCGUCUCCACGCCAGGGAGCCGGCAGAAGGAAGACCCUCACGGAGCCCUCCAGAGCGCGUAACAGGAGAGCUCGCAUUCGGAUGCCUGCCCAUACACUGGGAACAAAGGGCCCGUCGGUGUCAAGUGGAGGCGCUGUCGUGACCAGCGGAGAGGGUUACGAGCUUACAAGCGACAGUCUCGUAAAACGCGACCGGCCUCUCCGUCCUCCGCCCCCCCACGCCGCAGCAGUGCAUGCUGGGAAGCGGGAGGCGUUGCUAGAACGGGAAGAAGCCGGACCGCCCUCCGAAGCGCCGCCGUCAGCCCCGAGCGCACGUUCCGGUCCCUCGGGGAAACUUAAAAAAAAAAAAUUCUUGGUAUGCCCAGAUAUUCCGAUUUAACUGGUCUGGAACGGAACCCAGGCAUUGACAUUUUAAAUGAGCAGCCUGAAUUGGGAACCACUUCCCUAAAGCCUGUGCUUGGGAGACGGUGGAGGGUUGCCAGAUUUAGCAAACAAAAUGAGAGGUACUUAGAUGAAAACGUUAUUUAUCUAGAGGGAAGUUUUAAGUUUUGCAGUUUUAAGAGGGAAGGAAAAGUACUGGAAAUGGACAGAAGGUUGAAAUUUUAAAAUGAACAGGGCAGAAUCUUAAGGAACGAAAAUAACCGUUUAAUGAUAAAAGGUGACUGAAACACUAUGGAAUUGGGCUGAUCUGUCACUCAGAGGAGCUGCUACCCAGUGAGAAAUGGGGGGUUUGAGAGUUUGGGAGCAAUUUCAGGAAAAAUAAACCGUUUCAUGUUUAUGACCCCAGUGAACUGAGAUUCCCAGUAAACCAGUGAUAUCGCUCUGACCUUGCCCCAGAGAUGAGCAAACAGAAGCCUGGAGAAUUUACGUGAUUUGUGCAAGUUCAACACAGCUGAAACCAGCCUUGCAGAAGACUGUCCAGUGGGGUGCGGGGGGGGACCUUAGAGUCCCAUAGCUCUAAGGAGAUUCUUAGAAACCUCCACUCUGAAGGCCUCUUGUCCUUCAAUCAAUCAUCCAGCACAUCCUCACAACUCCCUCGGAUCACCCUGAGGCCACCCUUCUCACCGUUGACACCACUACCAUUAUUCCUGACACAUGAGGCAGGAUGAUCCAAGACCAGAAGGUCAUCAUGAUCAAGAGUGCUAGCCAUCCUUCCCCACCACUCCAGCGGGGGAGGUAUCCAAGGCAGCUCAGUUCAACCGAGUGGCAGGAAGGACAGAAUCCCAUGGAAAGGAGCCAAAGUUCUAUCAGGAAGACAACACCAGUUCUGACAAAUCUGGAAGGUGAUGCAAGGACAAAAAUAACACCACUUGGUGACUGGGAGCUGAGAGCAGGAUGGAAAGGGGUGUGAGGCACAGGUUAGCAAUGAGCAAGUCAGGACUGAGGCUGUGACCAGCAGGUGAUUGCCAGUGCACACCUUUGUCAUGGUGCCAGAACAUACCAUGCCUCUUAAAGGAGCCACAUGCAGCUGGACACCAGUCAACUCUCCAUGGUCACGCUUAUUACCUAUUGCUUCACCACUCACCUCCCCUGAGUACAAUGUGUCUCCUGUGUUUCCCAUUCAGCUAAUGGUAUCACCAUCCACUUAAGAAUCAUCUUGGGCAUCUCCAAUAUCAUCUUCCCAAUUUUAAUCAAUCAUCAAAUCUAAAAACUUCUAUCAACUAAGUAUCUCUUGACCCCAUCCCCAGUCGCCUUGGUUCUGGCUCUCAACAUCUCUCCGUGGGACCGUCGCUGCCCACACUGCAAGAGGUUCCUCUCCGGCCUCCUGCUCACAGCAUCCCCUUCCUCUCUACCAUGGCACAGCUGCCUCUCUGCCCUACACAUUAAAACCUUAGGAGGUGCCCCAUUGUCCUUAGCAGACCAAAUUCCAGAGCAUGGCAUAUUAGAGCAGUUUUAUUACAAGUGAUAGAAACUUUAGUAGGACUAUUUGGGACGAAAGGGGGAAAUUUAUUAAUUUAAAUAGCUGAAUUGUGGGAAAUACACCUGUUGUGUCCCAGAUAUUUGAAUCAGCGGCUUGAAUACCAUUGGAAUUUUUUCUCUUUCUCUGUGUAUUGUCAACAUUGUCUUUGCCUUUUUCCACAAGCCUGGACCAUGACCCCUGGCCCCUUGGAGCCCAUAUCUACCUAGUUGCUGGUACCACUAAAGUGGACACACCACUUCUCCUAAUGGAAAUACAGAGAAGAAAAGAGAAGGUUGCAGGGGUCGUGAAGCAAGCACAGGCUCCUUUCUGCUUCUCAGAAGGGCUGGCCAGCGCCUCGGCCAUGCUCCUCAGGAAUGGCUGGGAAAACGAGCCUACCUGGUGGGCCAGCCAGGUUCCUGCUACCUGAAGCCCUGCCAGGGCUGUGCAGACUCCCAGUGGCUGGAAAAGGAGUCUGAGGGAAAAGUCCUACAAAGGCACCCGUAGCACAGUGGUUAAGGCAGGGCUCUGGGGGCUUCCCUGGUGGCUCAGUGGUUAAGAAUCCACCUGCCAA